UGACAUUCCAAUUUUCUCCCAAUUCUAUUGGAAGGUCAAUCUUAAAUGCUGUAUAGGAGGAUCUCAUUGAGAAGAUAUCAUUUGAGCAAAGAUGUAAAGCAAGGGAGGGAAUGAGUCAGUGGCUACAUAGCGAGAGUGUCCUAGGCAGAGGAAACAGCUUCUACAAAAGCCCUGAAGCAAGAGAAUGUUUGAAGUGUUCAAGAAUAAACAGGAGAUGCAGAAUGAAUGGAAUUGAGAGUGAGUGAGGCAGUCGGAUACAAGAGAGACUAAUAUGGGGCAGCACUGAAGACUGCUGACAGCAGCCACAUGAGUGAGCUCAGAGUGGACACAACAGCCCCUUCAGAGGCUGCAGGGAUGGCAGACAGCCUGACUGCAAUGUCGUGAAAGAUGCUGAGGCAGAACCAUGCAGCAAAGUCAUUCCCAGAUUCCUGACUCUCAGAAAAUGUGGUUUCUUGGGAGCCAUCAUUAAGGUGAAGAACAGAGAAGGCAUCCUAGCACCAGAGUUCCAGGCAGCCCCAAC
rnacentral:lncRNA from 1 species